CUCAAAAAUACGUUUUCCUUAAACCACCGCGAGCGUCCGCCGUCGACGAGCUUCCUACACCGCCGUCGCCGAUUGUUUCGCCUCCUAUUGAGAUUUUACCGUUUGUAAACAACAAUAUAACAACUUUAUCCCAAACUCAAUGAAAAUUCUAUCCAGAGCUAACUUCUUCUCUUGCUCCCUCUCUUCUUCCUCUGGGGGAUUUCAACUUGUGUAGGAUACUGAAUUCUCCUCUAGGAGAGCAAUGUCAGCCUCUAUCAGUGCUCAUGUACAGUCGAGGUGAAUGCUAUAUUAUCUUUAAACAAUCAAUGUGUCCUUGAUGAAGGGGAGAACUCGUAUUUUUUGCCUCUUUAAUUGUCCUUUUUGUUUUUAAUGUUUAGUUAGACAUGACCAUAGUGAAGAUUGAUGUUGUAAGAAAGGAUGUGGCAGCUCUUAAAAUCCAAACGGACUGGAGAUGGCCUAAAUUCAAUCAGAACCAGAACAGACUCAAGAGAGCAACUACUCCGUGGCUUCCAAAUGAGCCAGAGAAAGCAUUCUAUCGAUGAGGUAUUUCCCUAGUCACCCUCCACAGCAGGGGCUGUUGUUGCAGGUUGUAGAAGCUUUUCCUCCGGUAGGCACUUGAUCUUGAUGAGGUAUUUCCCUCCGCAGAGAAUACAAUCACCCUAAACUUUGUUAACAACUUUGGUUGAUAGGUAUAUUUUGAUCUAUCCACAAGGUUGUGAUGUUUUCAAUCACCUCUGCUUGUUUCUUUGUGUUGCAAAUCAUGACAACCUUCUUUCAUGUAUGACACCUUACUGUGAUACUGUCU